rnacentral:rRNA from 1 species
GACGAACGCUGGCGGCGUGCUUAACACAUGCAAGUCGAACGGAAAGGCCCUUCUUUUUUUGGGUGCUCGAGUUGCGAACGGGUGAUUAACACGUGAGUAUCCUGCCCUUGACUUUGGGAUAACUUCCGGAAACUGGGGCUAAUACCGCAUAGGAGCUCCUUCUGCGUGGCGGGAGUUGGCAAGUUUCGGCGGUUGGGGAUGGACUCGCGGCUUAUCAGCUUGUUGGUGGGGUAGUGGCUUACCAAGGCUUUGACGGGUAGCCGGCCUGAGAGGGUGACCGGCCACAUUGGGACUGAGAUACGGCCCAGACUCCUACGGGAGGCAGCAGUGGGGAAUAUUGCACAAUGGGCGGAAGCCUGAUGCAGCAACGCCGCGUGCGGGAUGACGGCCUUCGGGUUGUAAACCGCUUUCGCCUGUGACGAAGCGUGAGUGACGGUAAUGGGUAAAGAAGCACCGGCUAACUACGUG